CGCAGACGCUGCGUCGGCAUCAAGUAUAGCUGGAAACACAUCCAACGACUGUGCACAGGAUAGAAUGGUGGAUGAAAAUGCAGAUUCCUCUGCUGCCACAGAAUCGGCCUGUGUUAGCACAAAGUCUGUUGCAAAACAGAUAGUAGAAAGGGAUAUAGAGUUUCAGGCAGCCAAUCCCAGUGUUACACAAAAGUUUGAACAAAC